rnacentral:rRNA from 1 species
UACGUAGGGUGCGAGCGUUAAUCGGAAUUACUGGGCGUAAAGUGUGCGCAGGCGGCCGAGCAAGUCGAGUGUGAAAGCCCCGGGCUUAACUUGGGAAUUGCGCUCGAAACUACUUGGCUGGAGUGUGGCAGAGGGAGGUGGAAUUCCACGUGUAGCGGUGAAAUGCGUAGAGAUGUGGAGGAACACCAAUGGCGAAGGCAGCCUCCUGGGCCAACACUGACGCUCAUGCACGAAAGCGUGGGGAGCAAACAGG